rnacentral:rRNA from 1 species
UAUGUAGGGUGCAAGCGUUGUCCGGAAUUAUUGGGCGUAAAGAGCUCGUAGGCGGUCUGUCGCGUCGGCUGUGAAAACUCGGGGCUCAACCCCGAGCCUGCAGUCGAUACGGGCAGACUAGAGUGCGGUAGGGGAGACUGGAAUUCCUGGUGUAGCGGUGAAAUGCGCAGAUAUCAGGAGGAACACCGGUGGCGAAGGCGGGUCUCUGGGCCGUAACUGACGCUGAGGAGCGAAAGCGUGGGGAGCAAACAGG